UACGUAAGUGGCAAGCGUUGUCCGGAUUUACUGGGCGUAAAGAACGCGUAGGCGGUUUUCUAAGUUGGGGGUGAAAUCCUGAGGCCCAACCUCAGGCCUGCCUCCAAAACUGGAGAACUAGAGUUUCGGAGAGGAAGAUGGUAUUCCAUGUGUAGCGGUGAAAUGCGUAGAUAUAUGGGAGAACACCAAUGGCGAAAGCAGUCUUCUGGACGAAUACUGACGCUGAGGCGUGAAAGCGUGGGGAGCGAACAGGAUUAGAUACCCCGGUAGUCC
rnacentral:rRNA from 1 species